rnacentral:rRNA from 1 species
GACAGAGGAUGCAAGCGUUAUCCGGAAUGAUUGGGCGUAAAGCGCCUGUAGGUGGCUUUUCAAGUCCGCCGUCAAAUCCCAGGGCUCAACCCUGGACAGGCGGUGGAAACUACCAAGCUGGAGUACGGUAGGGGCAGAGGGAAUUUCCGGUGGAGCGGUGAAAUGCGUAGAUAUCGGAAGGAACGCCGGUGGCGAAAGCGACGUGCUGGACCCUUUCUGACGCUGAGGCGCGAAAGCCAGGGGAGCAAACGGG